GCACUCCCGCCUGGGGGAGGUACGACCGCAAGGGUUUAAACCUCAAAAGGAAUUUGACGGGGGACCCCGCCCAAGCGGUGGGGGCAUGUGGUUUAAUUCGAAGCAACCCCGAAGAACCUUACCAAAUCUUGCCCUCCCUUUGAAAACUCUAGAGAUAGAGCCUUUCCCUUCGGGGGACAAAGUGACAGGUGGUGCAUGGUUGUCGUCAGCUCGUGUCGUGAGAUGUUGGGUUAAGUCCCGCAACGAGCGCAACCCUUAAGCUUAGUUGCCAUCAUUAAGUUGGGCACUCUAGGUUGACUGCCGGUGACAAACCGGAGGAAGGUGGGGAUGACGUCAAAUCAUCAUGCCCCUUAUGAUUUGGGCUACACACGUGCUCC
rnacentral:rRNA from 1 species